AAAACGACUCUCGGCAACGGAUAUCUCGGCUCUCGCAUCGAUGAAGAACGUAGCGAAAUGCGAUAACUGGUGUGAAUUGCAGAAUCCCGUGAACCAUCGAGUCUUUGAACGCAAGUUGCGCCCGAAGCCUUCUGGCCGAGGGCACGCCUGCCUGGGUGUCAUGC
rnacentral:rRNA from 2 species